rnacentral:SRP_RNA from 1 species
ACCGAAAACACUACCGGUAUUCCACAUCUGCCACUUACUUGUUUCAGGUUAUGGGAAAUGCGGUGGAGGUAGGGGACCACUACCACACGCCAAGAGUGUCAAAGGGGUUCCCGUUGACACUCUUGGCGGAAGUAGCCAGUUCACUUCGUAAGAAAGCUAAGGGGGUGGACAGGACGAGGUUGGAAAGGGAAAAGAAGCGUGUGGUAGUGGUCCCCUACCUCCACCGCAUUUCCCAUAACCUGAAACAAGUAAGUGGCAGAUAUGGAAUA